UCCCUGGUAGUCCAGUGGUUAAGACCCCACACUUUGACUGCAGGGGGCGUGGAUUCAAUCUCUGCUCAGGGAA
rfam:Ovis aries breed Texel chromosome 3, whole genome shotgun sequence.